UGGGGAAUAUUGGACAAUGGGCGCAAGCCUGAUCCAGCCAUACCGCGUGGGUGAAGAAGGCCUUCGGGUUGUAAAGCCCUUUUGUUGGGAAAGAAAAGCAGUCGGUUAAUACCCGAUUGUUCUGACGGUACCCAAAGAAUAAGCACCGGCUAACUUCGUGCCAGCAGCCGCGGUAAUACGAAGGGUGCAAGCGUUACUCGGAAUUACUGGGCGUAAAGCGUGCGUAGGUGGUUGUUUAAGUCUGUCGUGAAAGCCCUGGGCUCAACCUGGGAAUUGCGAUGGAAACUGGGCAACUAGAGUGUGGCAGAGGAUAGUGGAAUUCCUGGUGUAGCAGUGAAAUGCGUAGAGAUCAGGAGGAACAUCCGUGGCGAAGGCGACUGUCUGGGCCAACACUGACACUGAGGCACGAAAGCGUGGGGAGCAAACAGG
rnacentral:rRNA from 1 species